UCUAUACAUGCAGUCGACGGUAACAUUGGUGCUUGCACCAGAUGACGAGUGGCGCAGGGUGCGUAACGCGUAUGCAAUCUACCUUUUACUAGAGUAUAGCCCAGAGAAAUUUGGAUUAAUCCUCUAUAAUAUCUUUUAAUUUCAUGAUUUUAAGAUUAAAGUUUUAACGGUAAAAGAUGAGCAUGCGUCCUAUUAGUUUGUAGGUGAGGUAACGGCUCACCUAGACUACGAUAGGUAGGGGCCCUGAGAGGGGGAUCCCCCACACUGGUACUGAGACACGGACCAGACUCCUACGGGAGGCAGCAGUAAGGAAUAUUGGACAAUGGACGAAAGUCUGAUCCAGCCAUGCCGCGUGCAGGAUGAAAGCCCUACGGGUUGUAAACUGCUUUUAUACAGGAAGAAACACUCCGACGUGUCGGAGCUUGACGGUACUGUAAGAAUAAGGAUCGGCUAACUCCGUGCCAGCCGCCGGGGG
rnacentral:rRNA from 1 species